GAUGGGGGUGGACACAGAGACACACAAAAGAUUUCUGUCCAGCUCUUGAUGGAAAUGUGAACAAAUCCUGACCCUUUCUGUGUGUGGUUGACUGUGCUCUCUCCCAGGGGAGGAGCUGCAGGGAACCGGGCAGAGAAAUAUUCACACUGUAUGAAAGAAUCUGACUUCCACAGCUGACACGUGUCACUGUACAACCCCUGAUCUGUGCCCCAUGAUCUUAGCCCCCUGCCUCCUCGACAGGAACAUAUAACCGAAUUCACGAUCCAGCCCAUAUAAUAGGGAGCUUCCCCAGGGGGGUCUCAGUUGGAUUACGAUAAUGUGGAGGAGCCUGCCUUGAGGAACGUCCUCCAGACUCCAGACAGCCGAGAGGUCCCUGCCCUGCCUGGAGAUGACCCAGGGGACGG